rnacentral:rRNA from 1 species
CUACGGGAGGCAGCAGUGGGGAAUCUUGCGCAAUGGGCGAAAGCCUGACGCAGCAACGCCGCGUGGGGGAUGAAGGCUCUCGGGUUGUAAACCCCUUUCAGCAGGGACGAAUCAAGACGGUACCUGCAGAAGAAGCCCCGGCUAACUACGUGCCAGCAGCCGCGGUAACACGUAGGGGGCAAGCGUUGUCCGGAUUUAUUGGGCGUAAAGAGCUCGUAGGCGGCUCGGUAAGUCGGGUGUCAAAUCCCCAGGCUCAACCUGGGGCUGCACUCGAUACUGCUGUGGCUAGAGUCCGGUAGGGGGGCAUGGAAUUCCUGGUGUAGCGGUGGAAUGCGCAGAUAUCAGGAGGAACACCGAUGGCGAAGGCAGCGGUCUGGGGCCACACUGACGCUGAGGCACGAAAGCGUGGGGAGCAAACAGGAUUAGAAACCCUGGUAGUCC